rnacentral:lncRNA from 10 species
UGCACCGCGUGGCCUUCAAGCUGCGCGCGAAUCUCGCGCAGCGCCGACGUCACGUCGCACUUCAGGGCGUCGCGCGUCUCGGCCUGCAUCUGCGCCUGCGCGGCGCCGGAGCCCUGGAUCUGGCCGAGCAGCUCGCCCACCUCUUCCUGGUGGUGGCGCCGCAGGUAGCCGCACUCCUCCUGCAGCGCCUGCGCCUUCUUCUGCAGGUCCACGCGCGCCGCCUCGGCCUCCUGCGCGAAGCGCGCCAGCGCGCGGGCCGCCGCCUCGGCCUCCUCUCGCUGCCGGGCCUCGUCGUCUAGGCGCUGGCGCACGUGCGCGAUGCCGGGACGGGGCGGGAGGCACU